UUCAAAUCAAUCAUUACCUUGUUUUCCUGAUCCGAUCCUGUGUCCGCGUAAUGCAGUUUGUCAACAUUGACACUUACAACCAUUGCAGUAUGGUGCAAUUCGUUUUGUAUCAGCGGUACGCAUUUCUCUAAUUGGCAGCUUUCCUCGUCGUUUGUAAAUAACAAGUCAAGAAACCGAUUGUUUUGAUUAGGUAUUCCACAUACUUGAAGCAGAUCCGAUGCAGCCAUAUCAUCAACAAGGACGACUUCUUCCGCCGGUGCAUAAUUAACUAGCGCAUUUAUACUUGCCGUAUGAGCACAGUAACGAUCACAGCUUGAGCCAGGAGAUCGAUUCAUUAAUCACUGUGCUGGAGAAACGAUUGUUCACAGCAAUCAAUACUCCUCCUCCGGAAAUCUUAUCUGAAUUCGCAGAUGUGCGGUCACAGCGAAUGCGUAUACAUCAUAAUCGUUUUCAAGCGCAGACAAAAAAACAGCCUCGAGUCUCUUUCUACUGCGAAUGCUGUUCAUGUUUUGGCGGAUUAAUGCGAGCCCGAAACCGAGAGGAACUAUCAGCUGAAACGUUAUUGCUGGCAGAACGAUAGCUGCAUUGUUUGAUCCGUGCGCCGUGGCAAAAAGGAAUCGACGAUUGGCUGUUUAUCGCUGACUGUUGGUUGAGCGAUGGAAACAGCGGCGGUGGUGACGUUGGUGGCAUUUUGUGGACCGAAUCGAAAAAUAUCUGUUCUGCGAGUGAAUUUGAAUUCAAAUUCACGGAAAUAAAUUCCUUUCUGCCAAGUCGAGGCGGAAAGGGCCUUUUCCUUGUUUUCGAUAUUUAUUCCAACUUUGAAUGACACCUGUUUGGUGUCCCUACUACCAGAACGGUGUCGAUCGGCUCGAGGCCAUUCAGCGGCGAUUCUUGCGAUAUGCCCUUAGACACCUGUACUGGCAAGACCCCUUUCGCUUGCCCAGCUACGAAAAUCGAUGCCGCCUCAUAGAUAUCGACACUCUUCAAGCCCGCAGACAAGCAACACAUGCCUCAAUUGUCGCCGACCUCCUGACAUCGCGAAUCGACUGUCCCACGCUUCUGGAGGAUAUUCCGCUUAGUGUACGACCCUGUGGAUUUAGGAAUCAGGAUCUUCAAUUGUACAUUCCCUUUCGAAUGAACAAUUACGGAGCUAACAGCGGUGCAAUGAAAUCGUUCAACCGUUUUUCGGAGCAUUUUGACUUCGACAUUUCGAGGGAUGUUUUCCGAAGAAAAGUGAUUAGGGCCUUGAGAACCCCAUAGUUAGAUUGAAAUGUUUUGUUUUUAACUUUAAUUUUAAGAUAUCAUUUGGAUCAACAUGUGAUCCGUUGAUCAGAAAUAAAUAACAAAUAGUGAACCUAUAUGUAAGAGAAGCGACGGCUGAAACACAAAAUUCCAAUGGAUACAAAAGAACUGUCAAAAGCGAUUCCAAUCGAUCCGAGCUUUUGUCGUGGAGCUUUAGCUUUCUAAUUGAAAACUCAACCAAGAAGAGUAUUGUGAUUGCUGUUGUGGUUCAAGCAAAUAAUUUUUAAACUCGUCAUAUGAAUUUAUGUUUAGGAGCAAUUUUUUCCACUGGUGGUUCGUGUUCGUAGUUUGAAAACUAUAGCCGGUGACAUAGUGAGUGCGAUGCGAUGCGAACCGGCGAAUGCGAUUC